GGGCAGUGGCAGUGUCUCAAAUCCACCUAGCCCUCACACUGGUCAAAGACAAUUCCCUGCUGCCAUCUGUCCUCCCUCCUUACUAGCCUGGGGCAGGAUCAAUGUCUCACAUCCAUGGGAGGGAGGAUUUUACUUGACUUGUAAAGCUAGUAAGCGCUCAGACAUAUUUGAUGUCCUGGGGAGAGGUCAACAUCAGUUUUGCAAAGAGGAAUGAUCUUAGAAAUCUCUCGAGUAUUUUGAGGGUGUCAAUAUGCAUGUGGAUAAGGGGGAGCCAAUUGAUAAUUGGAAGUGAAACACAGUCUAGUUGGAGUUUCAGACAGCUUUCAACAAUGUCACACGCCAAAGGCUCUUAAAGUAACUAAGCUAUCAUGAGAUAAGAGGGAAGAUCCUCCCAUUGAUUGAAAAUUGGUCAAAACAAAUAAAUGGCAAUUUUUCACAAUGGGGGAAGGUGAACAAUGGUGUCCCCCAGGGAUCUGAGUGAUUCAACAUAUUUAUAAAUUAUAUGAAAAAGGAAAUAGUGAAGCAGCAAAGUUUGCAAAUGAUAGAAAAUUAUUUGAGGUAAUCAAUUCCAACAGUGUUACAGAACAAUUUUACAACACUGAAUAGACAACAAAGUGGCAGAUGAAACUGAACAUUGAUAAGGAUAAAGAAAUGCAGGUGGGAAAUAAUAACUGUAACUAUAUACUCAGCAAUUCUCUAAAUAUCAAUCCAAUGUUCAGCAAGGGUCAAAUAGUAACUUACACAUUAGAAAUCGCUAGGAAAUAAUUUGAAAACAAAACAGAAGUCAACAUUAUAGACUUUUACAGUGCACCUGUAUCUCGGGUCCUGUGUGUAGUUCUGGUCACCCCCUCUCAAAAAGGACAACUAUAAAAACUAUAAAAAGUACAGAGACAAUCUGGAGUAUGAAAUAGCGUUCAUACAGGGAGAGAUUGGAAAGUCUGGGACUCUUCAACUUAGAAAAGUGAUGACUGAUGCAGGAGCUAUGAUAGUCUGAGGUUGAUAAAAUUGUGAAUUGUGUGGAAAAAGGGAAUAAGGUAUAUGGCUGUUUUAUAUGUCUCAUAAUGAAGAACUGGGGGGCAGAAGGAUCAGGUAGCAGGUCUAGAUCAAACAUAAGAAGGUACUUUUUCACACAGAGCAUAAUUCCUAUGUGGAACUCUCUGCUACAGGAUUUUGUGAAAGCCAAUAGUAUAACUGGGUUAAAAAAGGGAGUAGACAAAUUAAUCAAGACAGGUCCUCCAAGGACUACUAAACACAUCAAUGUAACCUAACUCUGGUGGCCAACAGAAUAUGGGAUGGCUGAUACGUGCCUGUUCCUAAUAUUCUUCCUCUAAGGCAGUGUUUUUCAACCUGUGUCUAAGGGGUCCCUGAAAGAUGACUAUGAUCAAUCAAAAGUUCAUGAAUACCCACAUCUACAAUUCAAAGGUGUCUGCACCUCCAUUUGAAAUUUCAAAAGGGCUCUGUACCUCCAUUGAAAAUGUUUUAGGGGUCUACAAAUGAAAAGUUGAAAACCACUGCUCUAAGCUAGCCACUUCUUCCCACUAUUGGAGGUGCUAAUUAAUCUUUGUGCUGCACUAGCAAACAGAGGUGUGAACCCGAUGGUUCUGUCUCUGGAGAAAGAGGGAAUCUUCAGAUCACUGUGUGUAGUGUCUCUACAUCAUACCUACAAUGACCAAUGCUGCCCGGAGCACCUAAAGACAUUUCCAAGGACAUAGCAUAGCAGGAGUGUGGCUGUACGCUGCCUUUGCCCAUUCUGGCAUCCAGAGCUGAACUCAGGUUGGGCACAGUGAUGUAUCCAGCCAGUGACAUCUGUUGUGUUCCUAUACAGAGGAAUGCAUACCCUGCAUUCACAGCCUCAGUGGAAGCAGUCUCUAGAACUGAUCCAACUGUAAAGGUUCAUUAAACAAUAUCUUCUGUUGGCUACUGUCUGUUUUCUUCCAAUCCAGAUAUUGUGGGUUCCAAAAGUAUCAUCCCUUUGGUUGACAAGUAAUAUUGCUUCCCUGUACAAAAUU